CGCGUAGGUGGUAGUGUAAGUCUGGGGGUGGAAUGCCGGGGCUUAACCCUGGAAUUGCCUUGGAAACUGCAUUACUUGAGUCAGUGAGGGGAGGGUAGAAUUCCUGGUGUAGCGGUGAAAUGCGUAGAUAUCAGGAGGAAGGCCUGUGGCGAAGGCGGCCCUCUGGCGCUGGACUGACACUGAGGCGCGAAAGCGUGGGGAGCAAACAGGAUUAGAUACCCUGGUAGUCCACGCCCUAAACGGUGGGCACUAGGUGUAGGGCUCGUAAGGGUUCUGUGCCGAAGGGAAACCAUUAAGUGCCCCGCCUGGGGAGUACGGCCGCAAGGUUGAA
rnacentral:rRNA from 1 species